UACGUAGGGGGCAAGCGUUGUCCGGAAUCAUUGGGCGUAAAGAGCGUGUAGGCGGCCCGAUAAGUCCGCCGUGAAAGUCCAGGGCUCAACCCUGGAAUGCCGGUGGAAACUGUCGGGCUGGAGUCCGGAAGAGGCGAGUGGAAUUCCUGGUGUAGCGGUGAAAUGCGCAGAUAUCAGGAGGAACACCAAUGGCGAAGGCAGCUCGCUGGGACGUACUGACGCUGGAGACGCGAAAGCGUGGGGAGCAAACAGG
rnacentral:rRNA from 1 species